UAUUUUUUUUUAUUCUGAAUAUUUUAUGUAAUAUAAAAGAAAAUUUAGAGGAAAAACCUUCUUUUAUAUAGCACACCCAUGCUGAUGUUAAACUACAAAAAAACCAAUUUUAGAACUUUGGGCGUGAAGUAAUACAGCGAUAUGAAAUCUUUUGAGAAGAAAGUAUAAUAAAUAAAGGAAAUAGCAAGUUUGGAAAGCAAUAUGAUAUUUUCCUGUAGAGAUAACAGUAUACAUAAUGUUCGUAGUACACGUAAGACAUGUUACGAAUACCUGACACGAGUUUAGUCUCCACACAUCUUUUUGCAGAGGAGGAAAUGAUGGUGAUCUCGGACAAAGGUACUUAAUUGGAAAAGGAAGUGACUGGUGAGGCUUAAUCUUUGAGCAAGGGUUAAAUGUGACGCAGGAAGUUGUAAUAGGCAUUGAGAAACAAAGGCUUGAGAUAAAUGAAGGCUUAUAUAAAACAGUUCAGCCUUGUCUACAACUACAACUUUGAAACUAAACAAAAAAUAAAAACCAUCAGGUUGGGUUGGCCAUCGGGCUCCCAAUUUUCCUUAUUUACAAGAAAUUUGAAAAGCAAUGGCAAGAGUUUUUGUGACAUUCGGAACAUUUAUUUGAAUUAGACCUAUCUACAGGGUGAUACAAGUACCAGUUCACAGACACAACAGAAGAUAUGGAUAUAGUUUAAUUAAACAGUUAUCAAGGUCAAUAUAAAAUGUUGCCACUAAAGCGUAAGGCAUGAUAAUUAAUUAAUAAUAGGAAGGUCUGUAGGAAACGUCAACGAACAAGAACCAAAUUUAGGUGUAAUAGUUCAACAGUUAAUAAGCACUAGAAAGGUAUGUUUGACCUAGUAGAAAGAAAAAUGAAAGAAGUCCCUCAAAUGAAUUUGGUGGAUUUAAAGAUUUUUAUAGACGAUUCUAUGAAUCUCUGUGACCUAAUUGUUAAAACAAAGAAAGCUUACAAAGUGAUUAUAAUUUUUUGUAUCAUUCUUCUGAGACUUUUCUAAGUCAUGCAUUUUUUUUUAAUUCUCUGUACCUCUAUUUCUUCAUUUGUCUUCCAUAUUGUCUUCAUUCUAUGAAAUUUAUUAUUUCUAUGUAUAUACUUUUUAUUUUGUUUCUAAAUCCAUUUAAAAUUGGGUUUUUGGAUGGGAUAUUGUACUACUUUGGAUUUUUUGGGACAGCUGCACUUCAACCACACUCUUCAAGAUGCCGUUAGGUUGAUUAAAUUCAACAAUCAACAGUGAAAUGAGAAUAGAAUUCAUCAUUGAAGAGGAACUAAAUAUCUUUAGGUAAAUUAUAUUAAAGAUUGUUUUUUAAAUCAAAUAUAUUAUCAAUUAAUUUCGCCAGCGAAAUUGCCACGGCCAAAAAUGCUGCACUUCGCGAAGCAGGAGCUCGCGUACUGGAGUCCUUCGAUUACUUAGGCGCGUUAUAUUAAUACUACAACACCACACACUCCUUCCCCACUCACACGAGCAUUGCUAGCUCUCUGUGUUGGUUAAUAAAAUUUCCUAAUUCAACAUUAGUGAAUUUCGUUAGCUGAUGCGGUUGGUUAACAGUGUUUUUGUCGGUGUGGAUUCCCGGGCUUAAGAUGACUCCAGAGCGCGGCGCGGCCUUCCCCAAGAGAGGAGACUUCUUGGGUCACCCCCUAACUCUGAUGUUCGGGCAUCGAUGACCUGUGUAGCAUGCAGAGGUACCCAAGGGAGUCACCACCCUCUGGUUUACGAGCUAGGUGUUCUAAU